rnacentral:rRNA from 1 species
AACGAACGCUGGCGGCAUGCCUAACACAUGCAAGUCGAACGAGACCUUCGGGUCUAGUGGCGCACGGGUGCGUAACGCGUGGGAACCUGCCUUUAGGUUCGGAAUAACUCAGAGAAAUUUGAGCUAAUACCGGAUAAUGUCUUCGGACCAAAGAUUUAUCGCCUUUAGAUGGGCCCGCGUUGGAUUAGCUAGUUGGUGGGGUAAAGGCCUACCAAGGCGACGAUCCAUAGCUGGUCUGAGAGGAUGAUCAGCCACACUGGGACUGAGACACGGCCCAGACUCCUACGGGAGGCAGCAGUGGGGAAUAUUGGACGAAUGGGCGAAAGACCUGAUCCAGCAAUGCCGCGUGAGUGAUGAAGGCUUAGGGUUGUAAAGCUCUUUUACCCGAGAUGAUAAUGACAGUAUCGGGAGAA